ACUAAUAUAGCUCAGUCGGUAGAGCAUGAGACUCUUAAUCUUACGGUUGUGGGUUCGAGCCCCAUUGUGAUGGCC